UCGGGAAUUUUGGGCAAUGGGCGAAAGCCUGACCCAGCAACGCCGCGUGAAGGAUGAAGUAUUUCGGUAUGUAAACUUCGAAAGAAUAGGAAGAAUAAAUGACGGUACUAUUUAUAAGGUCCGGCUAACUACGUGCCAGCAGCCGCGGUAAUACGUAGGGUGCAAGCGUUAAUCGGAAUUACUGGGCGUAAAGCGUGCGCAGGCGGUUAUGCAAGACAGGUGUGAAAUCCCCGGGCUUAACCUGGGAACUGCACUUGUGACUGCAUAGCUGGAGUACGGCAGAGGGGGAUGGAAUUCCGCGUGUAGCAGUGAAAUGCGUAGAUAUGCGGAGGAACACCGAUGGCGAAGGCAGUCCCCUGGGCCUGUACUGACGCUCAUGCACGAAAGCGUGGGGAGCAAACAGGAUUAGAUACCCAUGUAGUCCCUGAGCGGGCUGGCAAGGCGCAU
rnacentral:rRNA from 1 species